CAGAAAAUAGUUUAAGUCAGAAUUAUAGCUUUGGGAGUUGUAGGUGUAAGUUCAACUCUUACUUUUCUGA
rnacentral:tRNA from 1 species